GCACCGGUGGUGUACGGUACACACGUCGCUUCUACGGUUUGAAGUCGAUCAUCGCGACGAGGUGGGGUUCGACUCCCCGCCGGUGCA